ensembl:lncRNA
AAGAUAUUUAACCUUCCUUGGACUGUACGCAUGAAAAACUUGUGUUAGACAGUUACCAGCCUCACAGUGAUCUGACUCGUUUUUCUGUUUAAAACAUUCUGAAACUUCUAUGGAGACUUAUCUGAUGCCACCUAUAUAUAAUGACCUAGAUUUUAAAAACAGUUGGGAAGCAGACGUCUGGAAAUCUGCUGUGAAUUUUAACAUUUUCCAUACAAAGAUCGAGUGUUAACCUGCAGUUUGUUUUCCCAUUAGGAAAGACUGAAAUGCUUUCAGGACUUCUCAGCUGUAUAAUGAGGAUCAUCUUGUUUGGGAUAUAACCACGGAGUAACAACAGGGUCAUGCUUUCUCUGUCGGAUUCCUGUCUCAAAGGAGAUCCAGCGUUACAUCACCGUCUCUCGGCAACUAUCCCUGGAGUGCUUGGGAAGGAUAUUCAGUCAUUAAUGGGGAUGAACCCUGUCCCAUGGAAAGUGGCAAAGAGGAAGAUCACUGUUCUGGGUGAGAGCAGCUACUGCAUGUGGAAUCACUUGUCUGCAGAGAAAUGUAUUCUGACACGUUCCCAUUUGCCUUUGCACAACUGCACAGUGGACUUGGUAAUGCAUCUGAGCAGCCUUCUGAUCAGUCUAAAAAGUAGGGUAUCCCUCUCUUCCCAUUUAGAAAUAAAGAACUGCAGAGAUGAAUUCCACCAUCCAAGAAGCAGGUUGGAUAAGAUGGAAGUUGUGUCAGAUGGCUUCAAGGGUGCCUAAGACCAUCAGCAUUAAGUACUACCUGACUGCUGAAAUUCUUGAUAAUUCUUUCAUCUGUAGUCUCUAUUUAGCAACUGGUAGAAGGAUGGGAAAGUCGUGAUUUCCUAAAAGGGCUGUACCAUCUGUCAGUGCUACUCAUCUUUUUUUCAAACUUACUUUGAGUUAUUUUUUCUCUCCUUCUGACAUUCACCAUUCCCAGGCUGGGCUAUAGCCUGGUGAGUGUGCUGUUCAGUACCAAUUAUGAGAUACACAGAACUGUUUAUUUUAAAAUCUGAGGUGUCUCAGAAAAUGAAAUACCACUGGCACAAAUACUGACAACCAGCUUUCCAUGAGGGGAUGUGAAGCAAGGCAGAUAACCAUUACGGCCCUUUCAGGUAUUUCUGCAGGGAGUGCAGAUAGUUUUCAUCUUCAGAAUGACCCCACUGAUCCCAGAGAGCUUCUGUGGAAAAGCAGCAAUAUCUUGAGUUCAUCUGUGUCAAAAGCUGGUGAUAAACCUCAGACUUUUACCAGAGAUAAGAGGAUCAUAUUGCACAGUGGCCUUAAAGCAUGCUAAGAUUUGGAUUCUUGUGAAAGGAGGGCAUUACUAACUCUGGAUUUUUCAUAUUCUUUCUUACUCCAAAAAUGAAGUGAUUGUACAAUGCAGUGAGUAUGAUUCUUUUGUAUUUAAAUGUGAUUCUUUAAUUGAGUAACAUCUGGAUUCAGUCUGUGGGAAGAAAUUAGGCUUUUUUUGUUUUUUUCUUUUAACCCUAUGCCUGUUUCAUUAAUCUUUCUUAUGCAUAUAGCUUUUUUCCAUUUUUCGUUUCGUUUUCCCUUUGCUAUCAAUAGGGCUUUGUUUUACAGUUUUCAUUUUUGGACUUUCCCCCCGCAGUCUCACACUUCAACAGAGCACUAAUGUUCAAAGUGUGAAAAUGACAGCAAAGGCACAUCCUCGUACAGUCGACAUGCUAAACCCACCUGAACAGAGGAGAGCAGGGUACAGAAUCAAGACUCUACAUUAAAAUAUGCAGCAAACUCCUGACGAAAAAGAAAUAAAGAAGUUAAUAUGGCAAACAGCAAGAAACUAAACAAACACGUUCAAACACAGCCCAUAAAGGAAGCAAAUGCACCGAGUAUGAUGAGAAAGGAAAAGUCAGAUUAGGGCCAUCUCCACUCAUGGGAACACAUGAAGAGAGUCGGCAACUGCAAGCUGCACACUUUCCUCCAGAAAGAAAGGCUUGAUUUUCAGAAGUACUUUUGAGGACAGAAUUUUCUGCUUCCCACUGGGAAGAAGAUCAUUUUUUUAAAGCUUAGCCUUACCAGAAAGUCAGGAUGAAUACUGGAAUGUGGUUUAACAUUGUACCCUCUGAGGAAAUGUUUAUCCCCACGUAACUGGGGGUAAUUAGAAAGAAAGAUGGCGUUGCCUGUGGAACUUACUUAAAAACUUAUCUUUGGCAUUGUAUGGUGUAUUGGCAGCAAUAAAGCAGAAGGGAAUCAGUGUUGGUGGUUCAAGGGGUGGGAAAGCUGAAACAGGAAACAUCAGGAACAGCCAACACAGUGUGUAGUCAGUCAAGCCCAGUGCACAUAUAUCUGGAGCAACACAUACAUGUAUACACACAUGUGCACACGUGUACACACCUCAGCCAUGCAGACACUGAGGCAAGAGGCAGAAAGAUCAGAGGAGGAAACAGUUUAAGUGCUGAAGCUCCAUGUACAUAUAUACAGACCUCUGCCCCCAGCCCACUCAUGCAGAGCCCUUUUUGUCCAUUUUCUUCUCUUGAAAAAAUCUGGUGAUGCAUCCUGGCAUAUGGGAAAAAGCUCAUGGUUUGCUAAAGCUUUUAGGGGGUUGGUCUGCUUUCUUAAUCUACUGUUAAAUGAGUUUGGAGGCCAGAAUAAGAAAUGCUUUUUUGUAUUUUGCCAAUUGAAAUCAAAAUAAAUAUAUAACUAAAAGGAGCUUGCUCACAAAUUUACAUUACCUAUAUGUUGCUAUGUCAUACUAGCAAAUACAGCUCAGCACCUAUUACUAUGACUUUCAGAAAGAAUCAUGCAAACUCAGAAUGGCUGAUGAGGGCAGGGACCUCUGGGCCCAUCUGCUCCAAUUCCUGCACAAGCAGGGCCAUACACAGCAGGGCACCCAGGCCCACAUCCAGGCAGCUUUUGAAGAUCUUCAAGGAGGAGACUCCAUAGCCUCUGGGCAGCCCAUGCAAGCAGUCCAGCACCUGUGCACUGAAAAAAUAUUUGCUGACGCUCAGGGGAAACCCCCUGUAUGCCAGCUUGCGUCCAUUGCCUCUUGUCCUGGCAUUGGGCACCACUGGAAAGAGCCUGGCCCCAUCCUUUUGGCACCCUCCCUUCAGCUAUACAUAGGUGUGAAUGAGACCCCUUGAACUGCUUCUUCUCCGGGCUGAACAGGCCCAGAUCUCACAGCCUUUCCUCAUAGGAGAGAUGCUCCAGCCUCUUCAUCAUCUUCGUGGCCCUACAUUGAACUCUUUCCAGUAUGUCUGUAUCUUUUUUUAUACUGGAGGGCCCAGAAACGGACCCAGCACUCCAAGUGUGACCUGACCAGCACUAAGGCAGAAAUAACAUAUUCUGAGCUCGAGAAAGUCUCUCAUAUUUCUCUCCUAUACAGGGAACAAACACAAUUUUAAAGGAUUUGUCAUUUUAAAAAUAAUGAAUAAUGAGAUACAUACCUUGUUCCUUUUUCCAGAAAGAAGAUAUUUAAAAGAGGGCACUGACAAAGCCUAUAAUUUCACAUCACUUUCUUCUAUGAUUUUCACAGCCAGAGUAGCAAUGGGAAAGUGACGCAGGUCACCAGUGUAGCAAAAAGCUGAACGUCAAGUGGUGAGAAAAAAUAAAUAAAUCAGUGGCUGUACUAUUACCAAGAGAAUUGAGGCUUGCUCUUCCUGAAGAAAAGCUGUCUGCAGCCAGCUCUCACAGCAACAGAACCAGGGCAACUGCCAAUGUAGGCGAAGCAAAGCAAAAUGAAGUUCAAGACCUAUUGCCAAGGGGUGGAAAGGUUUAAGAACAACAAAUGCCUCAUCUUGACAAUGUAAAAUCUGCAAAGACUAGAACAGAAAGGGCCAAUUACUACCUUAUGUUCCAGUUCUAAUCCGAAAUUAUAGGAUAGAUUUCUAAUGAGGGGGAACACUGCUGGAGGCAGCUGUGGAGGAUGGAGGGGUACACUGCUGUAAUUACAGACCCUUGUGCAUUGGUGACAGAAGUUCCAAAACUUCAAGAGGCAACACCUUUGUAAUAUUUGUUUUUGCAGAAUCAAAUAACACCCUCAAUUUGCAGUGGAAUGGAAACACUGAAGUAUGUGAGUUUCAAAGCAGAUUGUAGUACUACCUGGCACAUGGUAGGAGCUGGACUAAGAAGGCAGAGGUGAGCCAAUGUACUGGAACCCUAACUCAGACCAGGGCUACGUGUGUGGUUGUUGGCCAGAGCAAAUAGAGCAGUGGCAAUGGGGGAAAAAAGACAGAUAAAGAAAGAGACAAAGUCUUAGGAAGGACAUCUGAUAUAGUACAGUCAAAACAAACUCCUUUCUUCCUUUCAAGAAUAUUGCUAGCAUUGAGGGCGCUGAAUGUUUCAUACACUGAAUUAUUACACAGUGUACAUUACUAGAAAGACCAAGGGAAUGAGUUUUGAUUUAACAGGCUCUUUUUCUUUCUCUUUUUCUUUUUCUUUUUCUUUUUCUUUUUCUUCUUUUCCUUUUCCUUUUCCUUUUCCUUUUCCUUUUCCUUUUCCUUUUCCUUUUCCUUUUCCUUUCCUUCCCUUCCCUUCCCUUCCCUUCCCUUCCCUUCCCUUCCCUUCCCUUCCCUUCCCUUCCCUUCCCUUCCCUUCCCUUCCCUUCCCUUCCCUUUUUUUGCCUGUGUGAGCUAUACAGUCAGAGACAGUGGUUUACAACAUGUGGUCUGCAGACUCCUAGAGAUCCAGAGGACUUCCAAGGGCUUCAGAAGAGUUAACCAUGGAACAAACAAUUAUCUUGUCCUUACUCAAGGGUAUGCAUCUCUCCUGCAAAGCUUAUAGGGAUCUAUAAGGGGAGAAGGCUUGAAAAAACACUGCCUGUACACUAUUACUGGGGCCCCCAGUACAGGAAGGAUGUGGAGCUCUUGGAGCAGGUCCAGAGGAGGGCCACUGAGAUGACCAGAGGGCUGGAGCACCUCUCCUUUGGGGAAAGGUUGAGGAAACUGGGCUUGUUUAGCUUGGAGAAGAGAAGGCUCCGGGGAGAUCUCAUUGCGGCCUUCCAGUACUUGAAGGGAGCAUAUAAACAGGAGGGGGAAUGGCUGUUUAUGAGGGUGGACGGUGAUAGGACAGGGGGGAAUGGUUUUAAACUGGGACAGGGGAGGUUUAGGUUGGAUAUUAGGAAGAAGCUUUUCACACAGAGGGUGGUGACGCACUGGAACAGGUUGCCCAAGGAGGUCGUGGAUGCCCCAUCCCUGCAGGCAUUCAAGGCCAGGCUGGAUGUGGCUCUGGGCAGCCUGGUCUGGUGGUUGGAGACCCUGCACAUAGCAGGUGGGUAGAAACUAAAUGAUCAUUGUGGUCCUUUUCAACCCAGGCCAUUCUAUGAUUCUGUGCCAUUCUAUGAUUCUAUUACUAUUACAUGAAAGGAAAGGAAUGGUGUUUUUCUAAUUAACACUUCCAUGGAUGUACUAUGACUCAACUCCUAGUGACAUGCUACAUAACUAUUUUGUCAGAGUAAUUUUGCUGUUUCCAGUAUUCAGACCAAGAAAUGGCCAUGCAGUGAACAACAGUUGCAUGAAUUGUAUUCUCCUCAUAGUUUAAUGUGGCAUCAGACUUUACUGUCUAUUCUUUUAUUUGUUCCUCAAGGUAUUUUUUAACUGACAAUAUUACAAGAUAUGAGUACUUUGUGGACAUUAACAAUUCUUUGUAAAUCUCUGAGGUGAGCAGAUGAAAAAUGAAGAGAAGGACGCAUUCAUUAUUUGUAUCCAAUUUGGGAUAUUAAAAUCUGGUCUUUACAAACAAUUCACAUUAUAUUGUUUUGCAUAUACUAAAAAGAAAGCCCCCAUUGCCUUCAGUUAUAGCUCUGAGCACCUGGCUCUUUUUCAAGUCAAGAAUCAUGUUGAUCACCAAGGAAAUGAGGAGCAUCCAGGUACCAUCACACAAAUUUUGUCUUAUGAGCAAGGAGUUCUGGAGCAGCAGGACUGAGUGCAAGGCAGCAUUCACACCCCAGGAGCAAUUUAUCUGCACCACUGUUCCACCUUCUCCUCACCCUCAGUUUUAAGUCCAGUACUUUGUAUUUAGCCAGUCCUCACCUCUGCUCCUUAAACUUCCCACACAUUCCUAAUCUCACACAGCAAAUCCUUGGCCCUAGAAAAUCCAAGAUAAGUGCAUUGCAGACAUCGGAUGCAAACACAGACACAGCUUGUUGCCUGGACCACUGCCAUUAUCCUCUCCCUCGAUCAACAUCGUUGCCUGUGGCCUUUCUCCCUUCCUCCUGUGCCACCUCAGAGGGGUUCAGCCCCAGGCCCUGAAGAGUUCAGAUCUAAGUGUGAGGCAUAGCCUGCCACAGAGCAUUGUGACAACCAUACCAAAAAAUAAAAGAAUCUUACAUUUGGACUAGGUGCGCUCAAGGCAGGCAAAUCAUCAAGGAGGUUAGCUGCUAACAUUUUAAAGGUUUCUGCCGAAAAUGUGUGAGCUGCAAGCUUUGAAAGGCCUCUGUCUUAGCUAACCCUGGCUGAAUUUGCUCAAGGACCUUAAAGGAUUGUGCUCUUUCAGAAAGCCCACUUCCUCCUCCACACCUCCUGAUACCAAAUGUCAAAUACUCAUUCCAGAAACCUUUGACCUGAGUGAAAUGCAUUUCACUUUUUUCCUGUGUCUGUAAAGCAUCAUCACCUGUACAUGUGUGUGUUUGUGAUGUGGCAAGUGCAGCUGAGCGCCUCUGAACAGCCCAGUUCCAGAAGCUGAACUCUGAAAAAGCUACAACUGGCUGGAAACAGGGCUUUAUGAUGAAAUGUGUAGACAACUUUAAUAGCACUUGGAGCCAUCAGCCUCACCUGCAAUCACUGAUCAGAUUUGGAGAAAGCUAUUAAAAAAACAACAACAACAACAACAAAAUGCUGUAGUGAAGCCUACAGGCCUUUGUUUUAUUCUCCCCAUUGGAAGCGUGGCAGAUACAGCCAGACAGCCCUGUAAUCUGGGAACCAGAUAUUUUGGAGAGAAAUUACAGCCACAUCAGCACCCAGCUUUCAUCUGGAUGUUUGUUUGUUUGUUUUCUGUCUCUGAUCUCUUUAGCUGGCUAAUUACGAAGCCUGAAUCAGCAGCUUGCCCAACGAGGGCAACUACUCCAUCUGUACCUGCGACCCUUAGAAAGAUCUCCCAGUGUACUCAAGUUAGUAAGUAGCGAGCCCCUCACAAGCCUCUCAGCCUAGUUUAUUUAGCUGACCUUAUAAACGUGUGCUGUGUUCUACUAUACUGCUCUUUCUGCGUUUCCUAUUUUAAGAUGAAUUAAGGGGGAAAAAAAUCCAUAAACCUUGACAUCACAUUUUGCAAAGGAAGCAAAUGCACUCCUCCCUAGACUCAAAAUGAAUGGCCUUUUAAGGUGACUGCUGAAUUAAAUUCCUGAAUGAUGAAAUCAACAUGUAUGAAAAAGUUCUUAUUUCCGAAACAGAAAAAAGCUGCAGGAAAAAAGAAGGGGGGGGAGGAGGAAAGCUCAGUAGUGUGAUUGCAGGGUUGAGAGCUGAAUAGGAGCUGUUUACAGUGACUCAAUAAAGAUACUUUACUUAGCUUUGGUAGUAAUGCAACUUCACAGGCUGAAGGGAAAUGGGGAUAUCCAUAUUCUGAGCCUGCUAAGCUUCUCUAAUGUAAGACAUGUGCAUUUAGUUGAAGUCCUGAAAUACCUCACUAAGAAGAAGGAUGAUGGAAAACCCCAAGCACAUCUUUCUGUUUAUCAUACGUUACAUACUUCUGACAUACUUUACACAGUAGUGUAUGCAGCUGACAUCAGUCUUUAGAUAUAUAACAUGCCUGUAAGGUAUGCAGCUAAACUCCGAUUCUGUGAAGACCUAAAAUACCCUUAAGACAGUAAAAAUAAUCUCAUUAGAGGUACGGAGCAUGUCUGGACAUUCUCAGGACAGAGGUGCUGCUACAGCACAGCCUAUUGCUCUCACAGCAGGGAGUCACAGCAUAUCAAACCAACAUAAAACACAGAAAUGUAACCAUCUCCCAACUAUCUUGAGAAAAGAACCAAAGGGAAUUCCGUGAAAGCUUUAAAUUCCCUACAGCUCAGGAAGUCACUAAUGAUUGGGUUGAUUAACACCGCCUAAGCAUUUUUCUAUCAUUUUCCACAAGAGUAUUGCAGAUAGACAAGAGCGCAACAGACAUGAAAUCUAGUUCCAAUUUCUUCUUCUCAUGAUUCUUGCUCCAGUGUGACUCCAAAACUUGGGUUUCCACCAGACUUUUCUACAUUAUAUUUUCUACUGUUGGAACAACCCUUGCUGCUGAGUUGUUGAUAACAAUAAUAUGAGCUUCAAGGCAGGAAAGGUACUGUUAGGUGUUGAUAUUUUUUCAUUACUACAUCAACCAGACUUGCUUUAAGUAAGGUUAGACCACACAGUGAUAAAAUACUGAUGUCUUAUCUUAAUUGUUCUCAGUGCAGCUACAGGCAAUCUGCUACACCAGAGAUAACUGAAUGUUAGAGAAGGGUGGCUAUUUUAGACAGCUUGCAUCUGCAGGAAAGGAAGAGAAUGCGAUACCUCUGUAGGACUUCAGAAUCAUGUGCUUUUCCUUUUUUAAGCUCAAUUCCUCUCCAUAUCAGAUAAUUACAGGUAGUAAAUGAAUUACUUGGACAGUUUGAAUGGGUAAUGGAGAGGGAGCUGGGUGAUGGCUUGAAGACCUUCUGCACUUCAGUCACUUCAGUGGGCUAGAAGGACGCUAGGGCUAGGUACCAGGACAGGCAGGGGAAUGCUGCAGUCAAAGAUAGUUUCUAUCACAUGGUCUGGGGCUAACUGUGAAUUGGUGGCUUUGCAAGGGAUAUGACAGCAUCACACUCCUUUCACUUCUAUCUUCUUUGCUUUUUAUCUACUAAAAGAGAAAAUUCUGAGUUUUGGAUCCUACAUACAUUUUGUCCAUAGCAACCACAACACUUCCCUCAGAUUUGCUAAAAAGCACGUCUUUGAUUUAGAACAAGAAAGACGGAUCUUCCUGCUGAUCCUCUACUUCUGAGCUUGACUGAAAUUUAGAAGUCAG